rnacentral:SRP_RNA from 1 species
AGCCGGGGUGUUAGCGGUACCUUGUACCUACAAUCCGCUAUAGUGGGGGUGAUGUUACACGGAGGGCUUUCUUUUGCGAAGCUGCCUCUGGUAAGUGGCGUUGAUGUCUGGGUCUCACGCGGCGAGACUCUGUGAACCGUGUCAGGUCGGGAACGAAGCAGCACUAAGCAGAUGCUUUCGGGUGUUGUGAGGGUGCCUGGCUGAGUUUACUGCCAGAGUAACGUUCGGGGG